GUCGAACGCUGGCGGCGUGCUUAACACAUGCAAGUCGAACGGAAAGGCCCUGCUUUUGUUGGGUGCUCGAGUGGCGAACGGGUGAGUAACACGUGAGUAACCUGCGCUUGACUUUGUGAUAACUUCAGGAAACUGGUGCUACUACCGGAUAGGAGCUCCGGCUGCAUGGUGGGGGUUGGACAGUUUCGGCUGUUGGGGAUGGACUCCCGGCUUAUCAGCUUGUUGGUGGGGUAGCGGCUUACCAAGGCUUUGACGGGUAGCCGGCCUGAGAGGUGGACCGGCCACAUGGGGACUGAGAUACGGCCCAGACUCCUACGGGAGGCAGCAGUGGCGAAUAUGGCACAAUGAGCGGAAGCCAGAUGCAGAAACGCCGCGUGCGGGAUGACGGCCCUCGGGGUGUAAACCGCUUUGGCCUGUGACGAAGCGUGAGUGACGGUAAUGGGUAAAGAAGCACCGGCUAACUACGUG
rnacentral:rRNA from 1 species